AUUUUAUUUCAGAGCACCGCGGGGACCUUACCUGGCCUUGAAUGUCCGGACCUUCAGAGAUCGAGAGUCCUUCGGAAUCGGAACACAGGUGCUGAUGGUGUCGUCAGCUCGUGUCGUGAGAUGUUGGGUUAAGUACCCGUAACGAGCGCAACCCUUGUCCUUAGUUACCAGCACGUUAAGGUGGGCACUCUAAGGAGACUGCCGGUGACAAACCGGAGGAAAGGUGGGGAUGACGUCAAGUAAUCAUGGCCCCUUACGGCCAGGGCUACACACGUGCUACAAUGGUCGGCACAGAGGGUUGCCAAGCCGCGAGGUGGAGCUAAUCCCAUAAAACCGAUCGUAGUCCGGAUCGCAGUCUGCAACUCGACUGCGUGAAGUCGGAAUCGCUAGUAAUCGCGAAUCAGAAUGGCACGGUGAAUACGUUCCCGGGCCUUGUACACACCCGCCCGUCACACCAUGGGAGUUGGGUGCUCCAGAAGUAGCUAGUCUAACCGCAAGGGGGACGGUUACCACGGAGUAUUCAUGACUAGGGUGAAGUCGUAACCAGGUAACCCUUAC
rnacentral:rRNA from 1 species